CAAAACAUUUACAGAACUCUCUUUUAAUUUGGAGUGAAUAUCAGGCAGCUAGCCUUCGUUUCAAUGUUUUAACAUUCUUAAGGAUGUAUCAAGUCCUUUUGGCUUCAGGAGAUCCCAAGUCUGCGAAGAGUUUGCUAACUAAGAUUCCGAUGGACGACCCGCACGUUCGAUGCAUUAUCAAGGCAUGUCAAGAGACUUAUGUUCAGUCAUCGAGCAUGACAAAGACAAAGAAGCAGAAG